rnacentral:rRNA from 1 species
ACUGCUGCCUCCCGUAGGAGUAGGGGGAAUCUUCCACAAUGGACGCAAGUCUGAUGGAGCAACGCCGCGUGAGUGAAGAAGGCUUUCGGGUCGUAAAACUCUGUUGUUGGAGAAGAAUGGUCGGCAGAGUAACUGUUGUCGGCNUGACGGUAUCCAACCAGAAAGCCACGGCUAACUACNUGCCAGCAGCCGNGGUAAUAC